rnacentral:lncRNA from 1 species
ACACAAAAGAAUACUUUUAACAAUCAAUUGUCUAUUGACUAUACUUUGAACUCCACAAAAAAGACUAAGACCUUCAAUUGUCUAUUGACUACACUUUAACUCGACAAAAAAAGACUAAGACUAUCAAUUGUCUAUUGACUAUCAAUUGGUUCCAUGACAAGUCUAAAUAUAUGAGCCACAAGAGGUUCCCCAAUGAUCUCGAAAUUGAUCCCCGUAAAUUGGAAUUAGAGAGAGACAAAUAUUUCAAGACAUGCAGGUUGUCAAUCAAAUCAAUCAAUUUCGUAAAGGAGGACAUCCAUGACAGAUCCAAAUGUUCAAAAUUACUGCUCUGAUUGAACUUCAGAAGAUCAAGACUAAGGAUUCGGUUGUAUCCUAAGUUGAGCAAAUUGAGGUUUGGCGAAUGAAGAAUGUUUCUUGAGAACUUUCCUUGCAAAUCACAACCACCAAGACUGAGAGACUUUAUAGAAGAGGAUAGAUUCAUGAAAACAUUAGGAUUAAUAGAAGGCAUGAUAAUUCUAACAAGAAAAAGAUGUGUCACCUCAGUUAGGUUGUGAACAAGUCCCUCCAAAGAAUUUUAUCAAGAGUUAAUUGGUGAGAAAAAACAUUAUGAGAGAGAUCAAGUGAAACCAAAUUUGACGAGUGGGAGAUUUGGGAUGGGACUUUUCCUGUAAAUAACGUUUUUUAGAUGUUAAGAUACACCAGCCUUGUAAACCGACCGAACUAGGAUGGAAUUUUGGAAAGAUUAAAAUCAUUGUAGGCAAGGUUGAGUUUUUGAAGGUGAGGAAGGAGGAAGAGAGUGGUAUUGGAAGGGAAGUUGCCAUAUAGCCAACUGCAGCUCAAGUCAAGGGCAAUAACAUGAGCAUUAAGGUGAUGACAAGUGACCCCAUACCAUGAGCAGCAAUCUGUACCCUCCUUCCAUGAAUUUGUCUUGGGAUAAGAUUUAAGGCCGUCAAAAUCAUCGCAAUACAAAGCAGCAUGGUCUGUCUGAGUGAUCGAAAAUGAAUUCUUGAACUGGAUUAGAGAAGCAGCUUCGUGGUGAGAGCAGGAGUGAGAUCCUGAAGAAGAAGAAGCAUAAAGAUGGGGAAAGAAGAGGAAUAGGCAGAGAGAGAGAUAGGGGCCAUGUUAUGUUUGUAGAGGAAGAUGAAGGAUAGGAAUGGUAUUUAUAGGCAACAAAUAGAAUCCAAUAUUAAACAAAAGCUUUGAUGAUUAAUACCACAACACCACUGUUACAGUGUUGUUUCUUUUAUGGUAUAAAGAUUGUUAUUGGAAGAGUUUGAAAUGCUGACAUUGAAAACCUAUAUUUUUCAAUACUCAUCAACAACCACUUCCUUUUUACCAUAUCUUUUUCAUUCCCAAAAUUGGAUACAUUGUUUUACCAAAAUUUUGUAUUUCAUUUGAACUCCCUAAACAACUGAGAAAAUUAACAUUGAUGAGAUUACAAAAUAGAUUGACUUAGUCUUCUUCCUUAUAAUACGUAAAAAAAAAUGUGAGUGUCUAUUCACUUAUAAUAUUUCCAUGCUAGAGGUAGUUUUUGGAAAAUCUUUAAUUAAACCUUAAUUUCAUUUUGUUAAAAUUUUUAACUGGAUUAUCGAAUUGGCUUCUGAUUGUAGGUUGAUCAAUGAUGGGCUGAUUUCUUCUUCUUCUUUUUUAAUUUUUUUAGGGUUUAUAAUAUACUGCUUAAUGUUGUUGAUUUAUUUUUCUGAUCAUCGUUUCAUUCGUUUGUUGAAGAUAACUGAAUUUUUAUUGGUUGUAAUUGGACUUGGGUUUUAGCCAAUGACUAUAAUCAAAGGGUUAAUUUAAGGUUCGAAUGAAUUAUUUGAAAAUUUUAUUAUUUUUCUUUUCAAUUAGUUGUUUUACAAGGAUUUAACUUAUAUUAGUCAAAUGAACUGGGUUUAAAAAAUGAACAAGAACGAAGAAAUUGGAUGGUUGACUGGACACUGGAAAGGGGAAAAGCUAAAAGUUGUAAAUGUUUUGAAUAUAGAGUUGUAUUCUUUUCAUGGCUUCAGAAAAAUGUAUGCAAUGUUUGGCCAGCGAUAAUGGACAAGUUUUUUUAAACCUCCAUGCCUAAGUCAUGCUUUCAUAAACAUGGGCAGCUAACACCGAGAAGUCAGUAAGCGAUUUAAAAGUGAAGCUCAUAUGCGUCAUUGCUACUCGCUUUGCAGCUAAACUCCUGAGUGACCGGGGAUGGUUGAUUUGAGGUUUAAUUCUAGCUAGUAGAUUCUUAGGUUUGUUAAGGGUCUUUUUGGAGACAAAUGUCUGAGAUUGCUGGAAAAUGCUUCUUACCAUCAUAUUAAUGUCUAUUCGGGUUGCGUUUUCUUAGAGUUUUGGAUUCUUUGCAUCUUAUCAUAAAAUUGAGUUAGAUAUAACAUGUCAUUGUUAUCUGUUAAUUGUUUCACUUGGGACCAGGAGCAUGGUGGCAACUCAAUACAGCUGUAAAUGCAUAUUUCAGCGAGGGUGAUAGGUAUAUAUUUAUGAAUUAUGCUAAUAUUUUGUUAUGAUAAGUAAUUCUAGGUUUAUAGCUUUAUUGGUUUGUUUGUUUUCUCAUGUUUCCUACAAAAAUAAGGCCAACAUCAACCAUAGUUUCUGUAGAUUAUGCCAUGGAUAUAAAUGAUCCAAAUGAAGUUGUACCAAAUGGGCCAGUCCCUUCCAUUUCUACCAUCAUCUAGAACAAACGAACAAUCGUCUCUUCAUCAUCGAAACUUCCAUAGCAGUUUCUUCGAUGGUGAUUCUGGUUCAACUUAUGAACCAAUUGAUACAUAUCCAACAGAGGUGAGAGGGGUUAAGUAUAGCCAUGAGCCAUCUAGUCAUGCUCCUGUUGUUGAGGAUGCCUCUGAAACUGCACAAGCUCUCGGCCCGAAUUCCCAUGAGACUGUUACAAUUGGUGAAGUAGGUGACGAUUCAAUUGCGCAGCCAAGGUGGCAGAAUGAUAACUGUAACAACCAGCAUGUUACACCCAGCGCUCCUGCCUUUGAUAAUUUGCUAGACUAUGGCGAUGACAUUGAAGAACAAAUGAUUCAAGCUGCCAUUGAGGCCUCUAAGCGGGAUGCUGAGGCAAGUUUUAAAAAAAGGACGCUUCCAAUUUGAUAGUGUUGUGGUGCCCUUCAUUCUUGUAGUUGCUGUAAAUGCUUGUUUUACAGAUUGCCUUUUUCAUGUUUAAAGUGUUAAAGUGUUGCAAAUUGAAGUGUUUUAAGUAAUGCAAAUUGAAUUGUUUAGUUGCUGGAAAUUGAGAUGUUUUAUGGCCGUAAUUGAGUGUAUAAAUGUUGUAAAUUGAAGUGUUUUAUUGCUGGAAAUUGGAUGCAUGGUAUAAUGACAUGAUAGAAUGUCAUUACAAUGUUGUAACUUUUUGAUGUUGUAAAAUCAUAUGGAUUAUGACAUCUAAACUAAUGAAAUCGUGUAACUUUUUAUUAAUAUAUGAAUAUUAUGUUGGGAUGUGAAAUAUAAUUCUCAAGUUAUUUAUUACUUCUAAUAUCUAAUAUUUCAUUGUAGAAUAAUUAAAAUUAUUUGUUUCACUAAUGAUAUUUUAGCACAUUCAAUAUCUAUUGCAGUUUAAAAAUAAUAAUUUAGAUUAUAUAUUAUUUUUAUAGUAUUAUAUAUUAUGAUUUUAGUAAAUUCAUAUAAUAGUAAUUAUAUUAAGAAUUUUAUUAAAUUAUAUUUAAUAAUAAUUAUGUUAAAAUAUGGUUAAAUUAUUUAUUAUCUUUAUUAAAUUAUUUUUAAUAAUAAUCUUUUUAAAAUUUAAUAACAAUAACAAAAAUCAUCUACUUAAAAAAGAUUCUGCUAAGGGUAUUCUAGUCAUUUUAGUUUUUUCCUUAUGCAAUUACAACAUCAUUCCAUUCAACCAAACACAAGAAUACCAUUACAGUUCUAUUCCGUUCCAUUCAACCAAACAAUUGAAUUACUGAUUACAGCUCUAUUCCAUUACAGUGAACCAAAUAUAUCCUUAGUAUGAAUGGCUGUCGAGGCAUGUAGAAAUUUGCACACAAAAGAACAAAAUUGUGCACUACUUAAAACUUCAAAGCAUGUGUGGCCUUAAUUUAAUUUUUCAUCUUUUUUAGCCCUUAAACCUACAUUGUUUAUCAGAUGAAAAAAUUAAUAUCUAUUAACUUUGCUAAUGUGCAAGCAUAUGCAACUUCUUUUAAAUCUAAAAAAUAUAAAAAUAAUUAAAUAUGUAUAAAUCUAAAGAUAUCUUAAACUUAAAACUAAAAUUUUUUAAACUAAUGCAAAUUUUUAUUAUUUAAAAAAUCUUAAAAUUUUCAAAUUAAAUUCCAUUUGUUUUCCACCGUUGAAGAACACCUUUAAUCACAACUUCAUGCUGUAUUGCCUAGAAAUUGUUUUGCAAAUUUAUUUUGUUUUAUUUAUUUCUAAACCCAUAUUUCUUUUCUAUAACUCCAAUUAUUAGAUUGUUUAGGGUUUUGAGUAACUUUCGAUUUUGGAAUUUUAGAUUUUUUAAAUUUAAAUAUGAAGUGCUCUUCUUCUUCUCCAAACCCACAAAUUUUUCUGCCAAAUUUCUACUCAAGGUUUUACUUUCAGCUAUAAAUAAAGCGUAUAUUAUAUUUAUAAUGAUCUAAGAAUAGUAGAGUCGAUGCCGAUCUACAUGAAAAAGGAUGAAAAAAAAAGGCAAAGAAUGAUAAUAUGAAGAGAGCAUAAAUCAAUAAAGCAAAUGAAAAACGAGCAGGAUUAAAGUAAAUGGGUAUUUAAUAUUUUUUUGUGAAAGUUCAAAGACUGAUUAUUUAUAAAAUUGGAUGUGGAAAAAUUAGUUGGAAUUUUUUUUCUUACACCAAUUGAUUUUUUAUAUAAAAUUUUUAUUUAUUUUUAAGUGUUGAAACCACUUUUUGAAAACAAAAAAAAAGUGUUACUUUUAUUUUGAAAACGGAAACGAAAAAAUGGGAGUCGCCACCGAUAUUUUUUUUGAGGUGUGAUCGGAUCACCUUAAAACAAUUUUGGUCUACGAAUAAAAAAAUGGGUCCGGGAGUCAAUUACGUAGGAGGAAGGAUUAGCACCCUCAUAACGCCCAAAAUUGAUACCGAAUUGCAUAAUUAAUGUCUUAAAGUCGAAUGUCGAAAAUUCAAAAAGAUUAAAAAUGAUCCCCUUUAAUUAAUGACAUAUUUUUAAACAAUAUUUGUAUAAAUUUGAUCAUAUGUAGAAAGGUCUUCUCAUCCUGAGUCAACAAAAUGUCGUAUCCCAUAAGUUAGGAUGCGACAUUUAGAUUUCCGAGCAUAAUCUAGCCUUUAAAACCCUUUAUUGAAACUUUAUGUAUUUGAAAACUAAAAAUGUUUGACCAUCUUGGUUCAAUGAGGAAAUCGAAAACCCGUAAGUUAGGACAAAUUUCCUCAAAGUUCCAAAGACGAUAUAUACGUUUGCCUUUAUUUAAAAAAAAAAGAUACUCGGUUACUUAAAUUCAACGAGGAAAAUUGGAGCCUAAUAAGUUAGGGCACAAUCUUCUCGAAAAUAUUGGAUACCGGGUAUUACGUUAUUUUGAAAACUUUGAAUAAAAUGAUUUCAAUACUUUGACUAAACGCAACAUUUUAAAUGAAUAAAAUGCGAUGGAACAAUAACGUAUAACGCGAAGUGAUAAUUCGUAAACUAAAAUAUACGCUAAUGAUCGACAAAGAAUCAAUGAAUACGAGUAAGCAAUACAAUACAUCAUAUAAGAGCAACAAUCUCAUAUCCCACAUUAUGCAAAUACUAACAUCCAUUUUAGCAAGCUAAAUGAAUUAAAAGUUAAUUAAAGAACAGCAAGCAAAUUAAUGUAAAUCUAAUAUAACAAGCUUUAAAAUAAAAUAAAAAUAAAAAUCAUGAAAAAGAGGAAAAUUCAAACACUAAAUUGUAUGUAUAAAAUAUUUGGCACAAAUAAUAUAUAGGAAAACUUGCAAUAAAAAAAUGAAGAAAAUAAAGAAUAAAUAAGAUGCAAAAUAAUACAUGUUCAUCUAAAUAAGUAGUACAUAUAAAAUAAAAUUUUAAUAUAAAUGUUGAAAUAAACAAAGCGUGUAAUUGAACAUCAUUUCCACUAACUAGAUCCUUCUUCGUCAACUGCUGCGAUUGCCUUUCUUUGACUUUCUUUUUCGCCUCUUCUCAUGUUGGUUUUCAACCAAAUUCACCAACCAUUUCGGUUUUCCAGUUUGGAAAACAACAUAUCCCACCAACAUUCCGAACACUACUCCGCAUCCAUAACCUAUCAACACCACUUUCCAACCAAAAGUAAUGUUUGAUUUUGAGCCAUCUUUUUCAAGCACAUCUGGAGGUGUUGGCGCAAUGAUGUUGCAACCUUUCGAGACCGGAAACCCACAUAUGAAUCAUUUCCAAAUGUGUUGAAUUGUUUGCCUUGAGGAAUCUGACCAUGGAGUUGAUUUUCAGAAACAUUUAAGGACAAAAGAAAUGGCAGAUCUACCAAUCUAUUUGGAAUGGUUCCAGACAACCUGUUUGAAGAUAGUGUUGGCACAUAAUUAAAUUAACCUUGCACAAAUAAAUUAUGAAAAGUUAGAAGAGUGAAGAGACUUGAAUAUGAAAAGUGAAAAAACUUGAAUAUGAAUAGUGAAGAGACUUGAAGAUGAAAAGUUAAGAGGCUUGAAUAUGAAAAGAUACACACAUGCAUGAAUAGUCACAACUCCUAGCAUAUAGUGAUAUAGAUGAAUAGUCACUUACAACUCCUAUAUAAAGAGUUGUAUGUGAUGAAGAAUUAUUAACUUUGUGUGCUUGAAAUAAAAGAUUAUUUGAAAGAAUUUUUUCAUACAAAAUUUAUUUCUCUUCUCCAUUAUAUUCUUUAUCAUUUUCUUUGUUUUAUUUCUCCAAAUAUUAAUCAUUCAACUACAAAUUGGUAUCAAAGCCUUGUUCAAUCGAAAUGAACAAUUCUAUUCCUCUUUCUUCCGUUCCCCAAUUAACCAAAGAAAAUUAUGGCAAAUGGAGUAUCCAAAUGAAGGCUCUUCUUGGAUCUCUAGAAGUUUGGGAGAUUGUUGAAAAAGGUUAUAAUGAAGUUGAGGGUGAAGAGGAGGAAGGAUUAACACAAGUUCAAAAAGAGAGUCUAAGAAAAUCAAGGAAGAAAAAUCAGCAAGCCUUAUUUUGGAUAUAUCAAGGAGUUCAAUCAUAUGAAGCGGCUUGGGAAAAAAUAGCUUGUGCCACCACGGCAAAACAAGCAUGGGAAUUUUUACAAAAUUCAUUCAAAGGAGAUGAAAAGGUGAAAAGAGUUCGGUUGCAAACUCUUUGAGGAGAGUUUGAAAGAUUGCAAAAAAUAGAGUCAGAAUCAGUUUCUGAUUACUGUUCACGGGUUUUGUCCAUAGUCAAUCAAUUAAAAAGAAAUGGUGAAACUAUGGAUGAUAUUCGUGGUGUUGAGAAAAUCCUCCGUUCUUUAGAUUCCAAAUUUGACUACAUUGUGGUUGCCAUAGAAGAAUCAAAGGACUUGAGUACCAUGACUAUUGAUGAACUCACAGGUUCGUUGCAAGCCCAUGAAGAAAGAUUAAACAAGAAGAAAAAGGAAGUAGAUCUAGAUCAAGCACUUCAGUCAAAGUUGUCUCUAAAUGAGAAUAAGGGAGAUUUUAAAAAUCAAAGAGGGAGAGAUCGUGGUCGUGGAAGAGGAAGAAAUUUUAGAGGAAGAGGCUCAAAUGCUCGUGAAAGAGGUGAAGAUGUAAGCAUGGAGAAUGGAUGGAAAGAAGCCAACCAAAGUCAAAAUUUUAGAGGAUCACAAAGAGGACGUGGACGUAGAAAUCAAAGAGGAAGAGGUCGUGGCUAUUUUGAAUGUUAUAAUUGUCGCAAACCUGGUCAUUUGGCAAGUGAAUGCUGGUACAAAGAAGAAGAGAAAAAUGAAGCUAAUAUAGUACAAAAUAAUCAAGAGCAAAAGCAAGAAACUUUGUUGCUCGUAUCUCAUGGUGGAGAGAUUGAUGAUGUCUGGUACAUAGACAGUGGUGCUAGCAAGCAUAUGACAGGUAACAAAAAUUUAUUUUCGAAGUUCUUUGAAUCUGAUUGUGGAGAAGUAAAAGUAGGAGAUGGCAAAGCUUACAAAGUUAGCGGUGUUGGUGAGUUGGAGUUCAAAACAAAGCAAGGAAGGGUAGAGAAAAUGUCUGAAGUUUAUUUUGUUCCUGGUCUUAAAAAUAAUCUGCUUAGCGUUGGGCAUCUCUUGAAGAAGGGGUAUGAUAUUCAUUUCCGAGACAUGGCUUGCUAUUUAUCAAAGAAAAAUCAGGUUGUUGCUAGAGUUGGAGUGGCAUCAAAUAAUCUUUUCUCUCUUACCCUUCAAAAUCAGAAUAUGUCUUGUUUUAUUGGUGCUCAUAAAGGAAUUUCAAAGUUAUGGCAUGAUAGAUAUGGACAUUUAAACUAUGGAAAUUUGGAGAUGCUUUCAAGGAAGAUGAUGGUUAGAGGUUUACCAAAAAUCGAUCGGCUUGAUGAUGUUUGUGAAGCAUGUCAACUUGGAAAGCAACAUAAAAUUGCUUUUCCUUCUCAAUCCUCGUGGAAAGCAAGAAGACCAUUGCAACUUAUUCACUCAAAUCUUUGUGGUCCAAUGACAGUUUCAUCUUUAGGAGGUAAUCGUUACUUUAUCUCUUUCAUUGAUGAUUACUCAAGAAAGUUAUGGGUGUAUUGUGUCAAAGAAAAAUCAGAGGCUUUUCAGAGAUUCAAAGAUUUCAAGGCAGAAGUGGAGAACUUUACUGGGUUGAAAAUUAACACCUUGCGUACAGAUCGUGGAGGUGAAUAUUUUUCAAAAGAAUUUGAGAAAUAUUGCCGAGAUAGUGGCAUCCGGCAUGAAAUGACAGUCCGCCAUACACCUCAGCAAAAUGGUGUGUGUGAAAGAAAGAACAGAACAAUUAUGGAAAUGGCUAGAUGUCUUCUUAAUAAGAAGAGGUUAUCAAGAAGAUUUUGGGCUGAAGUUGUUUCCUGUGCAGUUUAUCUUAUAAACAGAUCACCGACAAGAAGCUUGGAGAAUUACACACCACAUGAGGCGUGGUAUGGUAUAAAGCCUAGUGUUAGUCAUCUUAGAGUAUUUGGGAGUGUUGCCUACUCUCUAUUCCAGAUGCAAUGAGAAGCAAGUUGGAUGACAAGUCAGAGAAAUGCAUUUUUAUUGGCUAUAGUGAAAGAAGUAAGGCAUACAAGUUGUAUAAUCCGGUGACAAAGAAGAUUGUGAUAAGCCGAGAUGUUCGGUUUGAUGAAAAUUCCAUGUUUGAAGAUAUGGAAGUUGAAAAGGAAAAUUUGCCAAUUUUUCCUUUUGAACUUGAAGAAGAAGAAGAGGCAGUAAUUGAGAAUGCUGAAGAUGAUGCUCAAGUAGAAAAUCCUCCUGCUUCCCCAUGUUCUUCAUCAAAUUCUUCUUCAUCCAGCCCGAUCCGAAAAACGAGAAGCAUCCAAGAGUUAUAUGAUGUAACGGAUGAAGUUGUGCAAAAUGAUGCUGUAUUCUUUGCCUUCUUUGCAGGAGAAGAUCCAAUUUCUUUUGAUGAUGCAUAUCAAGAAGAAAUAUGGAGGAAAGCCAUGAAAUAAGAGAUUUUCUCAAUUGAAAACAAUGAUACAUGGGAACUCACAGAUUUACCGCCGCACAAGAAUUCAAUUGGAGUCAAAUGGGUGUACAAGACAAAGAUGAAUCCGAAUGGCUCUAUCAACAAGUACAAGGCAAGACUGGUUGCAAAAGGAUACAAGCAAAAGGAAGGAGAAGAUUUUACAGAGGUAUUUGCUCCAGUUUCAAGACUUGAGACAGUUCGGUUACUUAUUUCUCUUGCUGCCCAAAAUAAUUGGAAAAUAUUCCAAAUGGACGUAAAAUCUGCGUUUUUGAAUGGUGUUCUCAAAGAAGAAGUCUAUGUUGAUCAACCACCAGGGUUUGUCAAAAAAGGAGAAGAAGAAAAAGUUUACAAGUUGAAGAAAGCUUUGUACGGGUUGAAGCAAUCACCCAGAGCAUGGUACAGCCGCAUCGAUUCUUAUUUUCAGAAGUGUGGAUUCCAGAAAUCUCCAUAUGAGCAUACUCUCUACAUCAAAGGCAAUUAUCAAGGAAGAUUCAUGGUUGUAAGUCUCUACGUUGAUGAUCUUAUUUUCACAGGAAAUGAUGUGAAGAUGUUGAAAGAAUUUCAGCACUCAAUGAUGGCAGAAUUUAAGAUGACAGAUUUGGGAGAACUUCAUCAUUUUCUUGGCAUUGAAGUUCAUCAAUCCGAGAAAGGAAUUUUUAUUUCACAAGAGAGCUACGCAAAGGAAGUUCUAAAAAAAUUCAUGAUGGAAAAUGCGAAUCCAGUCUCUACUCCAUGCAUUACAGGUCUGAAGUUAUCUAAAGAGGGUGAAGGAAAGCUUGUCAAUUCCACCAUAUUCAGAAGUUUGGUUGGGAAGUUGAUGUAUCUGACUUCGACAAGGCCUGAUAUCGUGUAUGUUGUUAGCUUGGUAAGUAGAUUCAUGGAGAAACCUUACUCCAAUCACUGGGAGGCUGCCAAGAGAAUAUUGAGAUAUGUGAAGGGAACCAUUGAUUAUGGAAUUUUCUAUAAAUCUAAUACAUUAGUUGAUCUCAUUGGUUAUACGGAUAGUGAUUUAGCAGGAAGCAUUGAUGAUAGCAGAAGCACUUCUGGUUAUGUUUUUCACCUUGGUAGUGGUGCAGUUUCAUGGAGUUCAAAGAAACAAUCAAUUGUGGCGCUUUCGACUAUAGAAGCUGAAUAUAUCGCUGCAUCUUAUGCAGGAUGUCAAUUGAUUUGGUUACGUGGAAUUUUGGAAAGUCUUAAGCAGAAGCAAAGCAAGUCAACAAUUUUGUUUUGUGACAAUAGUUCUACUAUUUCGGUCACAAAAGAUCCAAUUCUUCAUAGAAGGACAAAACACAUUCGCAUUCGAUAUCACUUCUUGAGAGAACUAGUGAAUAAUGGUGAUGUUCAAGUUGAAUAUUGCAAGACGGAAGAUCAGAUGGCUGAUAUCUUCACAAAGCCUCUAAGUGGACAAGUCUUCAAGAAAAAUGUUGAAAGGUUGGGAGUUCAAAGCAAGUUUAAUUUAAGGGAGGCAUUGUUGGCACAUAAUUAAAUUAACCUUGCACAAAUAAAUUAUGAAAAGUUAGAAGAGUGAAGAGACUUGAAUAUGAAAAGUGAAAAAACUUGAAUAUGAAUAGUGAAGAGACUUGAAGAUGAAAAGUUAAGAGGCUUGAAUAUGAAAAGAUACACACAUGCAUGAAUAGUCACAACUCCUAGCAUAUAGUGAUAUAGAUGAAUAGUCACUUACAACUCUUAUAUAAAGAGUUAUAUGUGAUGAAGAAUUAUUAACUUUGUGUGCUUGAAAUAAAAGAUUAUUUGAAAGAAUUUUUUCAUACAAAAUUUAUUUCUCUUCUCCAUUAUAUUCUUUAUCAUUUUCUUUGUUUUAUUUCUCCAAAUAUUAAUCAUUCAACUACAGAUAGGUCCAACCAUUCAAGACUUGUCAAAUCCCCUACUGAGGUAGGGAUACCACUAUUAAGGUUAUUAUGAGAAAGGUUGAGCCCUUUCAGUAAGUUAAGCUUCCCAAUAACCUUUGGAAUCUCCCCUUCAAACUGAUUGCUUGAUAGAUCAAUGAUCACCCACAUAGUGAAAAUUUUCACCAAUUCCACGUCUUGUCCUUUCAUAACAAUUCCAAUGGAAUAGGCAUAGAAGUCAUCUCCAUCAUUCACCCCCAUGUACGACACUGUACUACUAACCUUCUCUAGAUUUAUGAUAGCCUUGAAGCUGUUGAUGUAUCUCACUAGUAGGGGUCCAGAAAAAUAAUUACUUGAGAGGUCAAAAAUUUGGAUUUUAGAGAAAAAAGGGCUAGACUUGGAGUUAUUGACACACAGGGAACCAUGCAUUUGAUUUGACUUUAGUACAAGAACUUGUAGCUGUGGAAGACUUCCCAACCAAUGAGGAAAUGUAUCAUUGAUCUUGUUGUUACCAAGAUCUAGUACUUCCAGACCUCUACAAUUAAGGAUGGAUGGUGUCAAAGGCCCUCCUAACAGAUUUCCAUUUAAAUUGAAAUUACUCAAUUGGCAUCCCAUUGCAAAUGUUGGAGGAAUCGUCCCAUAGAACUUGUUCUUCUUCAGAUUCAAGAAUUGAAGGCUGUUGCUCAAAUUUCCAAAACACUGCGGAAUUGUUCCACUCAAGUAAUUGUGGGACAAAUCAAGAAUUUGAAGAUAAGUGGCAUUGCAUAUUAAUGAAGAGACCUCUCCAUUGAAACAAUUAUUUGAGAUCAAAAAGACAGUGAUGGUCGAAGCUGGAAUCGGAAGAUUUCCACUGAUCAAAUUGGAGCUUAAGUCAAGAACAUCAAUAUUCUUCCAUGGAAAGUGCUCAGCUUCUGUCAAAGAGUUGUGAAAUACAUUUAAGUAAGUCAAAGAGCCAUUCCCCACCUCUUGCAUCCACUAUGGAAUCUUGCCUUUAAUUUUGUUGCAAGAGAGGUCUAAGCUUUCCAAACUUUUAAGCCCUUUUAAAAAUUGGGGGAAUUCACUAAGAUUGCAAGAUGACAAAAAUAACCAUUCAAGAUUUCCACUGAUCAAAUUGGAGCUUAAGUCAAGAACAUCAAUAUUAUGACGAUAUAUAAGUUUCCCUUUAUUUUUUAAAAAAAAACCUCGUCUCGAGAUAUCGAAAGGUCAUAUCCAAUGAGUUAGGACACAACGUUUUGAAUUCCCGAGAUAAGCUUUAAUUUGAAAUUUUUAUAUUUUAAUUAAAAAAUGAUACUCAGUUACUUAAAUUCAACGAGGAAAAUUGGAGCCCAGUAAGUUAGGGCACAUUCUUCUCGAAAAUCUUGGAUACCGGGUAUUACGUUAUUUUGAAAACCUUUGAAUAAAACGAUUUCUAUACUUUGAUUAAAUGCAACCUUUUAAACGAAUAAAAUGCGAUGGAACAAUAACAUACAACCCGAAGUGAUAAUUCGUAAACUAAAAUAUAUGCUAAUGAUUGACAAGGAAUCAAUGAAUACGAGUAAGCAAUACAAUACAUCAUAUAAGAGCAACAAUCUCAUAUCCCACAUUAUGCAAAUACUAACGUCCAUAUUAGCAAGCUAAAUGAAUUAAAAGUUAAUUAAAGAACAGCAAGCAAAUUAAUGUAAAUCUAAUAUAACAAGCUUUAAAAUAAAAUAAAAAUAAAAAUCAUGAAAGAGAGGAAAGUGCUAAGGGAUAAGAUUGAAGGCCCGUAAUAUGAUCGCAAGACAAAGAAGCACGCUCUGUUAUGGAAAAAGAGUUCUUGAACUGGAUUAAUGAAGAGCAGGAGUGAGAUCCUGAAGAAGAAAAAGAAGCAUAAAGAUGGGGAAAAAAGAGGAAUAGGGAGAGAAAGAGAUAGGAGGCCAUGUUAUGUUUGUAGAGGAAGAAGGAUAGGAAUGGUAUUUAUAGGCAACAAAUAAUACCACAACAUUGGUGUUACAGUCUUUUUUUUCUUUUACAUUGAAAUGCUACAGAUAUUAGAUUUUCAAAAUAUUUGUAUUUUUCACAAUCAUCAACACUUAGUCGUCAUUUUACCAUAUAUUUUUCAUUCUUUUUUUUUUUAACAAAAUCUUGUAUAUCAUUUGGACUCGCUAAACAACUAAAAAAAUAAAGAUUGAUGAGAUUACAAAGUAGAUUGACUUAGUCUUCUUCCCUAUAACAUGUAAAGAAUGUAUGUGUCUAUUCAAUUGCCUGUCAACCAAAGCUUAUUAAUGUGGAAAUUCUUUUCCACACAAAAGAACAAAAUUGUGCUCUAUUCAGCUACGUUUGAGGAAGGAGACGGCUGGAAAUUUAAUCCACCGAUUCCAUAAAAACGUGUAUAUUUAUUUAUAAAUAUAUAUAUAACCUCAUGAUUCAAAUCUAAAAUCUCAUUUGUUAUAAAUUCUUAUAAAUUUAUUUGGGAAUAGUUAUUUUUCAUUCGUUAAUUAUUUCUCUUUUAGCCGUGAAACUUAUAUGGUUCGUUAAAUCGCCCCAAAAAAUGAUAAAAAAGAUUAACAAAACUAGCCCCUACGUGGCUGAUGUUGACCCUUAGUAGUUAAUGGCAACUCCUAUGUAAUUGUUAACAGAUACCACAGCAACAAUGUUUGUUGACGUGACAAUGCCACAUGACCAAUAAUCGUUGUCAUGGUAGUGCCACGCCGUCACCCAUUGAUGACAUAUUAACCUUCGAGUUAAACUCAAAUUGCUCUUUCCUUUGUUAUAAAUUAAGAGUAUAACUAAUUUUGAUAAGAAUAGUUACUUUUCAUUAACUCAGUUUAAAGGACUAUAACACGUAAAGUUUGGUCUAUUGCAGAAUUCACAUGCAAUGCGGGAUAUUUACAUUUUGAAGAAUUCAACACAUAUAUGGGAAUUUUUGUAUUUCCACAAUCAUAAUUUUGUUAGUGAUCAACAACUACUUCCUCCUUACCAUAUAUUUUUCAUUCAUAAAAUUGAUUACUUUUUUUAUCAAAGAAGUAAAAUAAUUAACAUUCUUAAGAUUACAAAGUCUUCUUCCUUAUAACACGUAAAGUUUAGUUCCAAAUAAUUUUCCACAAAAAAAAGACCAUCAAUUGUCGAUUGACUAUACUUUAACUCCAAAAAAAAGACUAAGACUAUCAAUUGUCUAUUGACUACACUUUAACUCGACAAAAAAGGACUAAGACUAAGACUUUCAAUUGUCUAUUGACUUCACACUUGCGGUUGCUUCCUCCUAUCUCUCUCACCCAAACUUAAUUUAGAAGCAAUGGGGAAAUUUUGGACAUUUGGGCCACAAUGAACAAUACUUCCACACCAUUUGCAGUAUUGACUACGUUUACUUGAGGGAAAACAAAGACAUGAAUGCUGGAAAUUUUAACUAGUUUGUACCGUCAAUGAAGCUACGUACCUAAAAGCCUUUUAGGAUAUCAAUUCCUGUAAUUGGAUUAAUCUCAUCGUUGCUGCAAUCUUUUGACAGUGUAAUCGAAUCUUAAAUAUGUUACUCUGCAAUGCUGUUGUAAAAAUUACUCUUAAAAUUGUCGAUAGAUAUAUAGGUUUGGCACAAAAUUAAGAAUACACAAAGGCAGGUUGAAUUAUUCCAUGUUUGAACAUAAAUUCAUAUGGCAAAAGGGCCCAAACCAUACCUUAUGUUCAUGAAUUCUCAUCAUCACAUGUUUAUAAAUGCAUCUCAAAACUUGAAUAAUUGAAUCUUUUGUAAUUCUACAUGUAUUUUUUUUUAUGGUGAGCAGUAUAAUGUUUACUAAAAAUUGAAAUUCAAGAAAGAAGACAUACAUAGUUGCACCAUACAAGUUGUUACACUCGAACUAAACCCUUACAAAUAGUACGAGAUGCAAUGAAAUACAGAGGAAUUGGUACAAUCAUAAAGACAGACACAUACCAAUGCAACUUUUCACCAUAGGAAAAACUUUCUGACAGACUACUAAACAAGAAAUUAUGAAGACACAGCAGAAAUGCUUUGACUUCUUUUGCACCAACUAGAUCCUUCUUCAUCCAUUGAUGCGAUUGCUAUAUUUUGGCUUUCUUCUUCGCCUCUUCUCAUGUUGGUUUUCAACCAAAUUCACAAACCUUUUCACCUUACCGGUUUGGAAAACAACAUAUCCCAUGGCCAUUCCAAACACUACCCCGCAUCCACAACCUAUCAACACCACUAUCCAACCAAAAGCAAUGUUUGCUUUUGAGCCAUCCUUUUCCAGCACAUUUGGAGGUGGUGUCUCAUUGAUGCUGCAACCUUUGGAGACUGGGAAUCCACAUAGUCUCUGUUUCCUUCAUAUGAAUUGUUUCGAAAUGUAUUGACAAUCUGACCAUGGAGUUGAUUUUCAGAAACGUUUAAGAAGAAAAGAAAUGCCGGAUCUGCCAAUAUCUCUGGAAUUAACUCAGUUCAAAUGACCAUAUAACUCGUAAAGUUUGGUCGAAGACUGGCAGCGUCUAUUGACUUCAACUCUUGCUAUUACCUCAAGAAGAAAGACUGCUACAAUUCUAUCUUCUUUAAACCAGCUAUUUAAAAGCAAUAAGGACAUUAAAUCCACCAAUUUAUCUUUGAAGUCAUUCGUCAUGCAGCUCUGCUAUGUACGAUUAUUGGCAAAAAUCUUGAAAGGAGACAACCUCAAAUUUGAAGACAAGAAAUGAGCAAGAACAUGCACCAACGAAGAAUCGAUUAUUGUUUUGUAUUUGGUAAAUACAAUUUGAGUUAAAUAAUCAAGAAUGAUAGUGAAUAAAUAAGGAAAAACAAUGUAGAUUCAGAACCACAAUAAAUCAUAUUAAGCUCAUGAGUUUAUAAUAUAUAUCUCUGCAGCUUGAUUGCCUUGUUAGCUAUAAACAUAACCUGUUAAUUCCAUCAUUAAUACCAUUAGAUAUAUUUUGAUGGGGGAGAUUUUUUAGUAGGAAAACAGUUGAAGUCAUUCAAGAAGACAUAAACAGCUGCAACUACGUAAGAGUUUAACUUUGAGAAUAGAUCCUUACACGUUAUUGAAAUGCCAUACUAAAGAUAAAGACAUAUAGCUAAACGUUAGACACACCAUAAAAAUAUAUAUAGGUAAAGUGAUAGGGUGUGAGUAAGGAGGCCAUGCUAUGUUUUCAAAUAAGAUUAUCAUGGUAUGAAUUAUGAGAACCCUAUUUAUAGGAAGAACAAAACCGAUAUGAAACUAAGAAUAUAGUCCAUUGAUAAUGAAGAAUCUAAGAAAUUUAAUGGAAAUUGUGGAUAAGCAUCGUGUUUUUAUCUCUGAUGGAGAAAAGCUAAGAGUGUGAGGAAGACCAACUGUCAAUGUCACCCAAACCGAAUCUACAAGUCACCACAAUGUACAGUAAUUCAAAGCAGGAAAAGUUCAUAGUUUCAGAGUAAAUAACACUUCAAUGAUUGUAUUAUAGAAAACAUGUGUAUCCUAUAUAUGUUGAACAAUAUUAUCUAACAAACAUAUUUUCCAAAAGACUAGAAAAUUUGUGAUUAAAUGCUAAAGUUACAUAUUUUAUGUAAUUAAAUUGGUUAAUUUAUGAGAGUGCACCACUAAUUUUUCCAUGUUUUUGUUGAAUUUUGUGCAGGGGUGCAAUUUGGGGCUAAAUAGAAGAAAAAGGAAACAAUUGGGCUAGAUUGAAGAGAGAAGCAAAGAAGGAGGGCCAAAACAGAAUUUUUCCAGAUUAAUUAGCUGAAAUUUUUGUUGACUUAGUGGGAGAUUAUUUUGGGAUUUUUUUUUAUAUCAUGGAAUAUUUUUCCUUAAUUUUCUAUACUAGUUGGCUUUUAAUUUAGCAAGGCCACUAGUAUAAAUAGAGGCUACAUUGUUCAUUUUAAUCAUCAAGUCUUGAAUCAAUUCAUAAAUCAAGCUUUCAUCUUUCAAUACAUUCUCUCUUUUCUACUCACAAAUUUAUUUGUUGUUUUUAGUUUCAUUUACUUUCAAUCCAUUAAUUUCCAGCUUGUUACCACUUAAACCAUUUUCAAUUUCUUUUUCAAACUUUCUUUCCAUCUCCAGUAGCUAAUUCACUUUAUUACACCCCCAAAAUUCCAGCCCCCCAAACUAAAUCACGCCACCCAUUCCUUUCACCCAUUUUACCUUAUUUAAUUUAUCCAAUACCAACAUGCCCCAAACCUUAGCCAACUAAAUUCAUUUCCAGCUUUAGGUCGGAAUUAGCCUCGUCAAAACCCGUGAGUUACGAACCCGAGCAAAUUAACUCCUAAAUUUUAGUACUUAUUAUUUCUCCGGAUUAAGAGUAUGAUUUUGUCAACUCACAAAGUCAGAUCAACAUUAAGUUAAAAAAGACGUCGUUUGAUUUAGUGUGGUUAGACGUACAGUUGGAAUUCCAAAAAGAUCGAUUCUAAUCGGUUUUCUGUGAACACAUUGGCGUGCCAAUUGGAGAUUGCUGUUUGGUUCCGUCAAGGGAAGUAGUAACCCGAUUUAAAUGUCCCACGCGGUUGAGGGCAUUGGUUCGAGCUAGGGUUUUCUAGAACGCAAAGCUGCCGGAGUUCUAAAUCACGAACAUUUCGUGGUUGUUCGAUCAGUAAGGGUUAGUUAUUGGACGUUCCAUAACUAAUUUACACAAGGAAGAGUUAGUGUCUGAGGCGUCCUUGGUAGCUAUAACUAGCUUAUUGGAAAAGAGGAGUUCAUCUAAUUUUGAGAAUCGGUUCAAAGACGAGGAAAAUUCGUGCCUAAAGCUGAGCUUAUUCUAAUUAAAUUUUCUUCAUAUUUAUUUAACUAUUUUAAUUAUUCUGUUUUCAACUUUAUCUUUUCACGCAUUUUAUUUAUUUAUUUCAGGUCUUCAAAUUUUAUCCCCCCGAACUUCUUGGGCACGACAACUGCCCCAACAUAAAUCUGGUCAAAAUAGAAACAAUUUGCAGUAAACCCAGUCUCUGAGGGAUCGACCCUACUCCCUAUACUGUUUAAAUCGCAAAUUAGGCGUAGGUUUAUAUUGGUGGAUUCGACACCCAUCAAUUUGUAUGUCAUUUUCUAUUACUUGCAAGAAAACUACAGGGGAAAUUGCAUUUCUAAUUCAUCCAUAGGCUUUAAAUUCAAACAAGAAAAAGGAAAAAGAAUAUAUAUAUAUCAACAGGAAACUUCAAGGAGAGAAAUUUUGUUACAUCAAUUUUCCAGUCAUAUUUAAUCUUUACCCAAAGUUGAUUCUAGAUUAAAUUUGGAAAAAAUUAAAAAAGAGGACAUGUAUUUUUUUUUAUUUUUGAAAAGUAAAGGAUUAUAUCUCAGCCAAAUAAAAAAGUCACAAUGCAAAGCCAAGAGCCAAAGCCAAGCCAAGCACACACUCAACUAGCAGACAUAACUCAUACAGGACCUAGAUGUAUUAUUGAACUCUUAUAUAAAAGACAACUGAAGAUGCAAAGCUUAAUUGUUAAGCUUUUCUGAUGCUUGAUAAGCAUAGUUUUAGUUCAGUUCCGAAAUCUAAACUGCUUUGCUAUGGGAUUAUUUUUAUAAGUACAUUGAGAUCAAUGCAUGCUAUUGCGAUUUAUUAUCUUUGAUGCCAAGGAAAUGACAGAAUUCAAAGACCAAAAGGUUCGAUUACAUACUAGAUCAUGGAUGUAAGCCAAUCUACAACCUCUCUCCUCGACCUCCAUGUGAAACCAGCAUGAUUUGAAUUCUCAGCCGCAUAUACCCUCACAAACUCCUCAGCAACAACAUAAAACAUAUACCUAACACUCCUUUGAGAACCGAUAACUGCACAGACAGAUUCACUAAUGGAAGCCUUCAAGAAAUAUUGAACCACACAAUUACCACACUUCUGUGAAAUAAACUUGUUGGUGCAAAGAGACAACAAUAGACUGUUUUCAAUCUUGCUUGUAUAGCAAGCCUCGAGCCUUGCUGAAGAAACAAACUCAAAAGCAAGAACAGAAACACAUGCGAAUGAAAAACAAAAGAAAUUGAGAGAGAGAGUAUUUUGAAUGAAAAGAGCUGAUAUUUCAUUAACAAAUCCAGAAGGCAUAAUGCCAUUACAUAUAAUAGAUAACAACAACAAAAUGAACAAGUCUUUACCUAAUGACAUACCUAACACCACUAAAUUUACAUUGGAAAUUGUUAAUCAGCUUGCUUAAGUUUCUUUGCUGAUUUUUUCAGUCAAUCAAUCAACAAAAAACAUCAUAAGGUUUACCAACUUAGUUCAACAUGAACUAGAUUACAAAAUAAUAAUUAAAAAUACAAUCAAAACAUAACAAGUAGUUAGGCAACUUUAAGCUCCAGUUUCUGCACUUCAUAGCUCGACUGCUUGCUGCCACUUCUCCUUGCAUGGCCACCUUUGCAUGUCUUGCAUGGGAACUAAAUUCAACACUCCUCCUUAGUUUCCAUGCUAGUGACACCUAAUUGCCUUCUUAAUUUAACAAAUUUAGACACAUUGAGUGCCUUUGUAAAGAUAUCAGCAAUUUGCUCUUCUGAAUUGCAAUGAACCAGCUCGAUUUCAUGAGCUUGCUCCAUCUCCCUUAUGACAUGUAGCUUGAUGUUGAAGUACUUUGCUCUACCAUGAAAGAUAGGAUUCUUUGCAAUUGCAACAGCAGAUUUGUUGUCACAGUAAAUCUCUGUUGCCUUUCCUUGAUUUUGAUUUAAAUCAGCUAGGAUUUUUCUAAGCCAUAUGGCUUGAUUUACAGCAGAUGCAGCAGCAACAUAUUCAGCUUCUGCUGUUGACUGUGCUACCAGACUUUGCUUUUUAGAACUCCAGCAAAACAUGCCUGAGCCAAGACUAAAGGCAUAUCCAGAUGUGCUUCUCAUGUCAUCACAAGAUCCAGCCCAGUCACUAUCAACAUAGCCUAUUAGCUUCAUGUUUAUAGCCCUUUUGAACAAUACACCAUGAUCAAUGGUGCCUUUGAUGUAUCUAAGCACUCUUUUAGCUGCUUGAAAGUGCUGAUCAUUGCAGCAAUUCAUGUAUCUGGAUAGCACACUAACAGCAAACAUGAUAUCGGGUCUUGUUGCAGUCAAAUACAACAGACUACCAAUGAGACUUUUGUACAUAGUCUCGCAAAUUGGUUCACCACUCCCUUGCCUCGAAAGCUUCACUCCAACAGCCAUUGGUGUGCUUGUUGGCUUGCAGUUCUUCAUAGAGAACUUAUCCAGGAUCUUCAUAGUAAAAGAACUCUGACUAAGAAAGAUUCCCUUUGCUGUUUGCUUCACUUCCAUUCCAAGGAAGUAGUUCAUUCUGCCUAAAUCAGACAUUUCAAACAUUUCCAUCAUUUUUCUUUUGAAAUCUUCCAGCAUUCUUCUAUCUCCUCCAGUCACCAAUAAAUCAUCAACAUAGAGUGACAGGAUAAGCUGAGUUUCAGCUUGGUUCUUCUUCACAUACAGUGUUGGUUCACUGAGACUUCUCUCGAAUUCCAAACUGAGCAAGUAAGAAUCAAUUCGAGCAUACCAGGCUCAAGGAGCCUGUUUUAGGCCAUACAAAGCCUUUUUCAGUCUGUACACCUUGUGUUCUUUGCCAGUGACCACAAAUCCUUGAGGCUGUUCGAUGUAGAUCUCUUCUUCCAGGAAACCAUUGAGAAAUGCAGACUUAACAUCAAGCUGAUGAAUGGUCCACUGAUGUUGAGCAGCCAAGGCAACUAUCAUUCUAACUGUGUCAAGCCUGGCUACUGGUGCAAAUGUCUCCAGAUAGUCCAGACCAUACCUUUGGCUAAAACCUUUGACAACAAGCCUGGCUUUUAGCUUGUUCAGACUGUCAUCUGCAUUCUGUUUUGCUCGAUAGACCCAUUUUACUCCAAUGGUCUUCUUUCCAGUAGGUUUAUCAACUAGCUCCCAUGUCUGGUUCUUCUCAAUCAUGUUGAUUUCAUCGACCAUAGCUAGUUUCCAGCCUUCAUCUGCCUCAGCCUCUUCAAAACUGCUAGGUUCUGCUAUUGCAACCUGUGCCCUUUCAUAAAUAUCAUCUAGGGGCCUUGUGCCUCUCACAAGCACAUCAUCAACAUCCAUUUCAGGUCCUAGCUGCUCAAGUUCAGCUUGAUUAGGCACCAGGUCUUCUGAAGCAGCUUCUGGUUCAUUCUUUUCCCAAUUCCAACAAGCCUUCUCAUCGAAGAUGACAUCUCUGCUCACUUGAACUAUGUUUGUCAAAGGAUCCAGCACCCUGUAGCCCUUCUUAACUGAGCUAUAGCCUACUAGAACACCUGGUUGAGCCCUUUCAGAGAGCUUGUCUCUCUUAACUGCUGGUAUUUGUGCAUAACACAGGCAACCAAACACCUUCAGAUGUACCAAGGAAGGCUUGAAACCGGACCAAGCCUCGAAAGGUGUUUUGGAUGCAAGAGCUUUGGUAGGAAGCCUAUUUUGAAGGUAGACAGCAGUGUUUACUGCCUCAGCCCACAUGGUCUUGGGCAGUUUCUUCUCAAACAGCAGGCACCUGGCCAUAUCCAUCAAGCUUCUGUUCUUUCUUUCUGAUACCCCAUUCUGCUGAGGUGUGUAGACAUUUGUAAGCUGGUGUUUGAUACCAGCAUCAUUGCAAAUGGCUUGAAACUGAGCUGAAGUGUACUCAGUGCCAUUGUCUGACCUUAUCGAUUUCAGCUUGCAACCUGUUUCUGUCUCUACAGCAAUUUUAAACUUCACAAACACUUGAGCUACCUCAAACUUGUGUUUUAAGAAGAAAAUCCAGCAAAACCUUGUAAAAUCAUCAAUGAAGAGGAUGAAAUACCUAUUUUUCUUGAGUGAUUCAGUCCUCAUCGGGCCACAUACAUCAGAGUGCACCAGCUGUAGUUUUUUAGUAGCUCUCUAAGCUGAAUUUGUAGGAAAUGGCAGUCUUGCCUGUUUCCCCAUCUGGCAAACUUCACACACAUCAUCAUGCUCCACUGAGCUAGUAAAGUUCUCUGCCAAGCCUUCUUUGGCCAUUCGAGCCAAUGAUCUGAAGUUGGCAUGCCCAAGCCUUUGAUGCCAAAGCUUGGAAUCAUCAACAGAGGCUGUAUAUGCAGACUUUGAGUCAUUUGGCCAGUGUACCUCAAAGCAUUUGUUAGUCAUUGUGACUGUCAUAAGGCUUGAUCCACUUGGAUCAGCAAUGUGGCACUGUUUGUUCUUGAACACAACAGAAUAGCCUUUCUUGAGCAAUUGAGCUAUGCUGAGAAGGUUUCUGUCGAUUUCUGGCACUAACAGCACAUUUGGAAUGAUCUUGUUGCCUGUGGGGGUACAUAUCAGCACCUCUCCUCUUCCUUCAGCCCUUAUGAACUGACCAUUUCCAACCUUGACCUUGGUUUUACAACUUCUAUCCAAGGUUUUAAAUAAGGAGGCAUCUGGUGACAUGUGGUUAGUGCAACCACUGUCCAAUAACCAGCCUUUUGAGCAUUUCUUCUCAGCAGCUAAGAAAGAAACAGCAAAGACCUGCUCUUCUUGAUCACUACUGUCCUCAGCUACUCGAGCUUCAACCUUUGGUUGUUGAAAUUGACUCUGCCUUGACUUGGUUUUAUUUUUGCAAACCCUUUCAACAUGGCCUUUCUUCUUGCAGUGUUGGCAUACUGCAUCUGGCCUGAACCAGCAUCUGUCUUCUGGAUGACCUGGCCUCUUGCAAUGUCUGCAGGGCUGGUCAUUGCUCCUUGCAGUAUCAGGCUUAGGCCUGCUUUUCCAAGGCUUUUUACCUCUUGGAGCAUUGAUGCUCGAGGCUUCUCUGGCCUUGGCAUUGAAUGCACCUUCCUGGUGGUCUUCAGCUCUGCUAGCUCUCCUUUGUUCCUGAGCAUAGAAAGUGUUGAUUAGCUCAGUCAAAGAGAUGGUAGCAAGGUCUCUUGAGUCCUCAAGAGAGGAUAUCUUGGCCUCAUAUCUCUCAGGCAAAGUGGAGAGAACUUUCUCUACUAUCCUUGCCUCAUCAAAGUGCUCACCAAGGAGCCUUAUACUGUUAACCACUGCCAUGAUUCUAUCUGCAUACUGCUUCACUGUUUCUUCUUCCUUCAUCUUCAGGUUCUCAAAAUCCCUUCUCAAAUUCAAUAGCUGUUGUUGCCUUGUUCUCUCAGUGCCUUGAAACUCCUCCUUAAGCUUAUCCCAUGCCUGUUUUGGAGUCUCACAGGCCAUAAUUCUGGUGAAGAUGACAUUUGACACACAAUUCUGAAUGCAGGACAUGGCUUUGUGCCUUUUGGUCCUCUCAUCAGCAUGUUGCCUAAUCUGAGCUACUGUGGGAUUGGCCCUCAGUGGUGCUGGCUCAGCAUCUGUGUUGACAACUUCCCACAGAUCAAAGGCCUGUAGGUAAGUCUUCAUCUUGACCAGCCAUAUGUGAAAGCCUUCUCCAUUGAAGACUAGUGGGGCUGCUGGUGAAAAACUUGAGGAAGACAUUCAGCUUUCUUAGUUUGAUAAAACAGGUCCACUAAGAAUGAAGCUCUAGAUACCAAUUGUUGGUGCAAAUAGACAACAACAGACUGUUUUCAAUCUUGCUUGUAUAGCAAGCCUCGAGCCUUGCUGAAGAAACAAACUCAGAAGCAAGAACAGAAACACAUGCGAAUGAAAAACAAAAGAAAUUGAGAGAGAGAGUAUUUUGAAUGAAAAGAGCUGAUAUUUCAUUAACAAAUCCAGAAGGCAUAAUGCCAUUACAUAUAAUAGAUAACAACAACAAAAUGAACAAGUCUUUACCUAAUGACAUACCUAACACCACUAAAUUUACAUUGGAAAUUGUUAAUCAGCUUGCUUAAGUUUCUUUGCUGAUUUUUUCAGUCAAUCAAUCAACAAAAAACAUCAUAAGGUUUACCAACUUAGUUCAACAUGAACUAGAUUACAAAAUAAUAAUUAAAAAUACAAUCAAAACAUAACAAGUAGUUAGGCAACUUUAAGCUCCAGUUUCUGCACUUCAUAGCUCGACUGCUUGCUGCCACUUCUCCUUGCAUGGCCACCUUUGCAUGUCUUGCAUGGGAACUAAAUUCAACAAAACUCCUUCUGCCACUCGAAACAAUGACCAUUCCAAACAUUUUGAUAGACAAUACACAAUUUGCUUCACUACUUACUCACAUAGCCAAAAAAUAUCCAAUGAAACUGGCAAAGGGUUCUUCCAAAAUGGUACAUUAGCUGCCAAAAAGACAACCACCAUAUAUUCCUUCAUUCAGUAAACAGCUUCAAUAUGGAAAUAAGUUAUUAUCUUAAAAAUGCUUUUUCUACCACAGAAGAAUAAGAACUAGGCAUCUCAGAAAAUUUGCUAAAUUAAUGACUUUGCUCCCUUCAAAAUAAACAAAUGAUUAACUGCAUUAUCCCAAAGAGGUCACCAUCAACCUCCAGUUGAACUUUCAAGGAAUAAUAAUAAAAAAUAGAAGGAAAUAAGGGGGAAAAAACCCAACCAGAACUCAGUAAUAGCUGAGCCUUGAAGAUCUGUAGGUAGUAAGAGAAAAACCCCAUGACGACUAAAGUCCAGGCUUGAAAGAACCAAAAGGGAGCAACAUAUGACUAUGAUUCACUGGACCAAGAGAAUCACCAAUGAAUAAAGGAAAAAGGGUACUUUCCUUUAUACCUAAACAUACAAUAUUUAGCCUCAAAAUGGGAAAAUUUCAGGUUUUCACAAAGGGUUUAAGAAAGAGGGUGAAAGUUAAAGAACUUGUCUUUGUUUUGAUGUGUGGUACACGAGAUAGUGAAGGAAAAUAGAGGUGAGGAAAUAAGAUGGAGUAAGUGCCUAAGUGGUGAAAAAGGAGAGCCUAAAAGAGACAUUUUUGAAGGGUAGUUUAGAAGCUGCAGAGGCUUUGGCAUACAGCAGCUGAUAAUGAGAGAAGACAAACCAGAAAUGUAAGUACGACGACGAUAAAAAUUAAAAAAUUUUAAGAAUUAAUGAAAUAAAAUUUUGUAGCUUAGCGAAUUGGGACGAAGUCCACCAGUGUGAUGCCCAUAGAUCCAUACCUGGGAUUUUUCUAUUUGGGCUAACUUUCUAACUUCUCCCACCAGUCUUAAAACUUUGCAGAUUUUUUCAAUUUGAUCUGGAUUGUAUGAUAACAUAUCACUUUGAGAUUGGAAAAAAAAUUAUUUUUUUUAAAUUAGAGAAAAAAUAAAGAAACUAAAUUUCAAGCAUGCAAAGUACAAAAGAAAGAACUGUAUUAAUAAAAGAUGAGUUACUUCACUCAGAUUGGAGUACCCUUUAAACAAGUUUAUUCUUGUAGAGAAAGAAACUGGAUUUUGAUUUCAUUUGCUGUGGCAAAAUUUUUAAUUUCAACAACAGUAUAACAUAUUGAAAGCCUGCCUACAUCUCGGCAGAAAAAUUUACAAAUUCUUUCAUCAGACAAUUUAAAUGAUGCAAUGCAAAGAUUCAUCAAUGUAUGAUCUUUUUAUCAUAAAUGGCUGUUUUACUGGAAAACUUGAUAUGUACUGUCUUUCACAUUCUUUUGUGCUGAAUGGUCUCUGAAAACUGCAAUCAUCAACUAUAGAUAACCCAUUCCUCAGCGCCGCCAGAGCCGACCUUGUUGUUUCUGUUCUUGAACUUGCCUGUGUCAUCAAAGGCAGUGAGCAUUUAUCAAUGUUAUAAAAAUGGCAUAUCGAAGUCAGAUUUUACUUGACAAUACACAAAUGUAAGAAGAUAAUUCACCUUUGAUACUCUUUAGAACGCUCGAGAAACUCUUUCGCGAUGUCUUUUCUUUAAUAUGAUUGCAAUACUUGUCUGAUAUCAGCCGGACCAUUGUGUUAGUACAAAACUCCGGUAAGGAAAAAAACUCGAACACACGAUCGGAACUCGAAAAGAAAAAGAAGAAAUAGGACAGGCUCCAAGGCGUGUAUCAAGCCACUAUCUUUAAGGUUAUAUUCGCCCCCACUUAUCUUCAGUGUGCAAACGAGUUCCAAGCAAAUUAACCUCGAGGAUACAAUGAAGCCAAUGACUAUUUGCGUUUUGCACUGACGAGAAUAGUCCACUAUACACUAAGUAAUGUAUAACAAAAACUCAAUUUCUACAAAGGAUUUCUGCAGCAAUACUUUAUAGAAUAAUCUAAUAAUAUUAGAAAAUGAAGGAAGAGAAGAAAUAAUAUUAGAAUUUGUUGAUAUGAUUUCCAAAUGAAAUCCCAUUCCUAUUUAUAGGAAUUUUCAUGUCUCUUCAUAGAGACAUCUUUCAAUAGGUGUCUUUAUGAAUAAAUAAAUAAUAAUAAUUAUUCAUUUAAUUUUGUAACUAUUCAAAUAAUAUUUUUUGAAUAGUUAUAAUUCUUUUUUAAAAAAUCAAAUGAUAUAACUUUUGACCAAUGACCAAAAGUUUUAUCUUUUGAUUAAUUACACCCAUUCAUUUAUAGUUAUUGGGAUACUAUAAAUAUUUGAAAAUAUUCCAACAAUCUCCCCCCAUUUUCAAAAUAUUUAGAUUUUGAUAUUCUUGGAAAUCAAUUUGCAUAAAUAAAGGUGUCUUACGAUUGAACCUUCACUUAGUGAAAACAUGUUAAAGUUAAUCGAAAUUGUAUGGUAGACUAAGCUUUGAACCAACUAUUCCAUUUGAUUAAUUGAACACAUCUCACACAAUGAUUUCAACAUCAGUCAAUGCAUAGUAUCUAGGGACACUAUUAUAGCCAUGUGUCUAUGUCCUCUUUUCAUGAGUGCUGUCAGAGCCAAGCCCUUAAGCUCCUAGAAGCGGCCACACUUCCACUCACAUAGGUAGAUCCCAUCAAAAGUGUUCCCGUAAUUAUAACACUCUAACAUAUUUAUGUUAUGGGUCCAUUAAGAGUAAAUUACUCAUCCUUCCCUUAUCAUUACGGGUACCUAGCACUUUAAUCUUAGGAUGGAUUUAUUUAUAGUGCUAACAGUCACAUACUAAUGAUGUACUUUGUCUCAUUGAACUCAAGACUUGACGUUAUACCAAGCAUUGAGUCGAGUUUCCAUCAUGGGUGACUCUAAUUAAUAGGCUUGAGUCCCAUCCCUUUUGAGGUCCUUUUUACUGCAUCUCUAGCAAGACUUUUUGUCAAAGGAUCUGCCAAAUUUUCACUUGACCUCACAUAAUUAAUAGUGAUCACUCCAUCAGAGAUUAAUUGUCGGACAUAACUAUGUCUUAAUCCAAUGUGUCUAGACUUUCCAUUAUAUACUUGGCUAUAUGCCUUUGCUAGAGUAGCCUCACUAUCACAACGGAUAGAAAUAGGUGAAAUUGGCUUAAGCCAUAAACGUACAUCAUAAAGCAAAUUUCUUAACCAUUCUGCUUCUUUAGAUGCAGCGGCUAAUGCAAUAAAUUCUGCUGCCAUGGUGGAAUCAGUAAUACAUGUUUGUUUCUUGGAACCCUAAGAAAUGACUCCUCCACCAAGAAUGAAGAUCCACCCACUAGUAGAUGCAUGAUCUUCCAAACUUGUAAUCCAACUAGCAUCCGAAUACCCUUCUAAAACUGGAGGAUAUCCAUUAUAACACAAUCCAUAGUUAAUAGUUUUCUUUAAGUACCUAAGUACUCUAUUUAAAGCUUGCCAAUGCAAACUACUUGGAUUAUUUGUGUAUCUACUCAAUUUUCCAAUAGCAUAUGCAAUAUCUGGUCUUGUACAAGUCAUUAUGUACAUAAGAAAACCAAUUGACUUGCAUAUUUCAAUUGAUCAAUUUUCCUACCAGCAUUAGAUACUAAUUUUAAUUGAGGAUCCAUGGGUGUAGAUACUGGUAUACAGUUGAAAAUAUCAAACUUUUUAAGCACAUUUUCAAUGUAAUGUGAUUGUGAUAAAGCUAUAGUGCUUUCAUCUCGGGUUAUUUUAAUCCCAAGAAUAACAUCUUCUACACCCAUAUCCUUCAUAGCAAAGUUGUUUGACAAGAAUUUCUUUGUGUUUUCUAUUUGUUCCAAAUCCGUGCCAAAAAUGAGCAUGUCAUCUACAUAUAAGCAAAUUAUAACACCCUUUCCAUUAUCAAAUUUACUAUAUAUGCACUUAUCGGAUUCAUUUAUUUAUAGCCAUUAGCUAAAACAACCUUGUCAAACUUUUGGUGCCAUUGUUUUGGUGCUUGUUUAAGCCCAUAUAAAGAUUUAACAAGCUUACAUACCUUAUGCUCUUGUCCUGGAACAACAAAUCCUUCCGGUUGCUCCAUGUACACUUCCUCUUCCAAUUCACCAUUUAAAAAUGCAGUUUUAACAUCCAUUUGGUGAACAACCAAAUUAUAUAUAGAGGUAAGUGAUAUUAAUAGUCUAAUUGUAGCAAUUCUUGCUACUGGAGCAUAGGUAUCAAAGUAAUCAAUACCUUGUCUUUGUGUAAAACCUUUUGCUACCAACCUUGCUUUAAAUUUAUCAAUGGUUCCAUCGACCUUCAUUUUCUUUUUGAAGAUCCAUUUACAACCUAUUGGUUUGGAACCUGGUGGAAGAUCAACUAAGAUCCAAGUUUGAUUUCCCAUUAUUGAAUCCAUUUCAUCAUUUAUUGCUUCUUUCCAAAAAGUAGAGUCUUGAGAUUUCACUGCUUCUUCAAAUGUAACAGGAUCAGAUUCGGUAUUAUAACAAUAAGGUAUCUUAUUGCAUAUACUUUCACCUUUUCCUUCUAUAAGAAACAUAAUGAAAUCUGGUCAAAAAUCUUUGACCUUUUUAAUCCUCUUACUUCUUCUUAAUUCUUGACAAGAUUCAUCAUUAUUAUCAAUUUGUUUCAAUGGAAUCUCAUUCUCAUUUGAAGAAUGAAUCAAUUGUUGUGGUUGUAAUUGUCUUGAUAUAGAAUUAAAUCUAUUUUCAUCAAAAAUAGCAUCUCUUGAUUCAAUAACCGUAUUAAUUGAAAUUGAAUCAUUUGGUUCAAUUACUAUGAACCUAUAUGCCUUGCUAUUAUGUGCAUAACCUAUAAAUAUGCAUUCAAUUCCUCUUUCACCUAACUUUUUACGUUUAGGUGUUGGAACUUUUACAAUAGCUCUACAACCCCAAACCUUUAAAUAAUUAAGGUUUGGUUUCCUUUUCUUCCAUUGUUCAUAGAGGGUUAUUUUAGUUUCCUUAUUAGGAACUCUAUUCAAUAUAUGACAAGCUGUUAGAACAGCUUCUCCCCAAAAACCCUGUCCAAGACCUGAAUAUGAUAACAUUGAAUUUACCAUUUCAAUCAAGACUCUAUUUUUCCUUUCAGCUACACCAUUUUGUUGUGGUGUGUAAGGGGCUGAAACUUGAUGGACAAUUCCAGUGAGUUCAAAAUAACUUGGAUUAUAGUAUUCUCCACCUCUAUCCGAUCUUAAGCACUUGAUAAAUGAUUCACACUGAAGUUCAACUUCAGAUUUAUAAACUUUAAAUUUAUCAAGCGCUUCAUCUUUUGAAUGCAAUAAAUAUACAUAACAAUAUCUAGAACAAUCAUCAAUAAAAGUAACAAAAUAUUUCUUUCCACCUAAUGUAGGAGUAUUAUGCAAGUCACAUAAAUCACUAUGUAUCAAAUCAAGCAAUUUUGUUUUCCUUUUAACCUUAGGGAAAGGAUUUCUUGUAAUUUUAGUCAACAUACAGGUAUUGCAUUUUUCAAUAUUAUUAUUAAAAACAGGAAUUAAAUCUAAUUUAUACAUGUCAUUCAAUUUUCUAUAAUUCAAAUGACCUAAUCUAUAAUGCCACAAACAAAAUGAUUCAACCAUAUAAGCAGAAAUAGUAUUUUUAUUCUUAUUAAUAAUAUUAAGUUUGAACAUGCUUUCAUACAUAUACCCUUUUUCCCACAAAAAUUCCUCCCUUAGACAAAAUAAACUUAUCUGCCUCAAAAACAAGUUUGAAACCAAACUUAUUCAACAGACUUCCAGACACUAAAUUUUUCCUAACUUCUGGUACAUAAUAUACAUCAUUUAAGGUUAAAACCUUUCCAGAAGUGAAUUGUAGUUCAACAGACCCUUUGCCUUUAAUUUGCGGUGGAAGAAUUUCCCAUGUACAAGACAUUGUCAUUUUCACAUUGUGUGACUUUGUGAACAUGCUUUUGUCUUUGCACACAUGUUUGGUUGCUCCGGUAUCAAUCCACCAUGUAUUAUCAUCUUGUACCAUAUUAAUUUCAGAUAUCAUUGCAACGAACUUUUCGUUAUUAUCAGCCUUAGAAGAUGAUUUCUUCUUUAAAAAUCGAUAUUCAUUCUUGAAAUGUCCCGGCUUUCCACAAUGAUAGCAUGAGCCCUUUUGUUUCUUUUUGAACUUAGGUGCUCUAUCAGCCUGAUUGAACUUUCUUUUGAAUGGUUUAGUAGUCUGUACUUCCUCCGUAACAUGUACUUUGGCAUUUUCAGAAUUUAGGUUCUGAUCUUGUUGUCGAUACUCUUCUUCAAUACGAAGAUGAUUUGCCAAAGCCUCAAGAGAUAUUUCCUCUUUCUUAUGUUUUAGACUUCUUUUAAAGUCUUUCCAAGAUGGAGGAAGUUUGUCUAUUAUAGAGGAUACCACAAUUAUUUCAUCCAUUUUCAUAUCAUAUUGCUUAAAUUGAUUCAACAUCUUUUCAAUAUCACGAAAUUGUUCCAUAACAGAACGACCAUCAACCAUUUGAUAAUUAUUGAAACGACUGACAAGAAAUUUCUUACUUGUAACAUCUUCGGUCAUGUAUCUUGCCUCCAAUUUGUCCCAUAAAUCUUUAGCGGUGACGUCGUUUUGGUAGGUGUCGAACAAACCAUCAGAUAAACCAUUCAAUAUGUGGCCCAUGCACAUGUAAUCAGCAUUGUCCCAUUUUUGUCUUUCUCGGGUUGCAGCAAUAGAUUCGUUUUCAUUCUCUUCAGGUCUUGGAGUAUCCAAAACAUAAGCAAUCUUCAAAGUUGAUAACAAAAAGUGCAUCUUUUUCUGCCAUCGUCGAAAAUUGCCACCAUCAAAACGAUCAAGUUUAACAAAGUUGGAAGCCAACUCCCUUAGUGUUCCACUUUCAUGUGUUGUGGUAGUCAUCAUGAAAUAUAACCUUAAAAUUGUUAGUACAAAACUCCGGUAAGGAAAAAAACUCGAACACACGAUCGGAACUCGAAAAGAAAAAGAAGAAAUAGGACAGGCUCCAAGGCAUGUAUCAAGCCACUAUCUUUAAGGUUAUAUUCGCCCCCACUUAUCUUCAGUGUGCAAACGAGUUCCAAGCAAAUUAACCUCGAGGAUACAAUGAAGCCAAUGACUAUUUGCGUUUUGUACUGACGAGAAUAGUCCACUAUGCACUGAGUAAUGUAUAACAAAAACUCAAUUUCUACAAAGGAUUUCUGCAGCAAUACUUUAUAGAAUAAUCUAAUAAUAUUAGAAAAUGAAGGAAGAGAAGAAAUAGUAUUAGAAUUUGUUGAUAUGAUUUCCAAAUGAAAUCCCAUUCCUAUUUAUAGGAAUUUUCAUGUCUCUUCAUAGAGACAUCUUUCAAUAGGUGUCUUUAUGAAUAAAUAAAUAAUAAUAAUUAUUCAUUUAAUUUUGUAACUAUUCAAAUAAUAUUUUUUGAAUAGUUAUAAUUCUUUUUUAAAAAAUCAAAUGAUAUAACUUUUGACCAAUGACCAAAAGUUUUAUCUUUUGAUUAAUUACACCCAUUCAUUUAUAGUUAUUGGGAUACUAUAAAUAUUUGAAAAUAUUCCAACACAUUGCGGGCUACAUCUGUGAACAAAUCAAAACAAAUGGUACUAUAAUCAACAAAUGAAUAUAGGAAACAUAAAAUUUGAACAAAGGCGAUGUGCAGAGGAAAAAGCAACAACAUAAGACUUACAUUCAAGAAAUGGAAUAAGGUCUAAAAGUGCGGUAUCAUCAGUCUCGACCUUAUAUGGCUUAAUAUGGACACAAUUUUCUGGUUGAAGGCUAGAAUCAAAUGCAUGAGCACUCACAUAUAAAAUCUUGGUUGGAUCCCUGUUUAGCUUUGAAAGAUCCUGCCAACAGGAACUAUUUGUUAACAAUAAGGCUUCUUUUUAAGUAGCAGCUUGUAAAGGCACUGUCUCAUAUAUUAAUUCACAUAGUAUUGUAGAAACUAAGGAGGAGAAAACCAAAAGCAAAAUGUUUUGAAGGGAAGAGAUUGACUAUGACAUGGUAAAAGUAUCAUGGAGGCCCCUAUGUUAGGAGUUAGAUUGCCUUUUGCCCCCUUUACUCAAAAACUGGAUAAAUUAGUCCCUAUAUGUUAGAUUAAAGAGUAAGCUAGACUUUCUGUUAAAAAUUUCAUCCAUUGCUACUGUUAAAAACUGGUGCAGUUGAUAAAAUAACCAAACAGUUACACAUAAUGUGUCACGUGUACCUCAUGCUAAUGUAUAUGGACCAAUUUUUAACAGUAGAAAUGGAUGGAACUUGUAACAGAAGGGCUGGUUUGCUUUUUAAUCUAAUUUACAGGGAUUAAUUUGCCCAUUUUUUUAGUAAAGGGGUGAAAUGCAAUAUGACUCCUAGUAUAAGGGCCUCCAUGGUACUUUUACCACUAUGACAUACUCUAUAAUGCUUGCCAUCCUGAUAUUUAGUAGCACCCCUUGAUAGCCUAUAUCGUAUACAAUGGUUAGUGUCCAACCUUUCACAAGCAGGAUCAACAUACCGCAUAGCCAAAAACAAAAUAAUUAUGAACUUGCAGGCAACAUCAGUUAUAGUAUAUCUGAAAAAGAUAAGGAAAAAAAACUGUUACUUUCAUAUCUAAUUUCUUUAUAGUAUUAGGACAAACUAAACAAUGGAUAUAUCACAUUAUUAAGACUUAGCUAAGGAGCCGCUGAUAUACAUUCAAAUGAUCAAUCAUAAAGGAUGAACUAGGAGGCCUAAUGAUAAAUCAAAAUUACACCUAAACCAGUUAUAUGUCUAAAGGCAAUUGCACAUUAUAUCAAUCAAACAACUAAAAUAAAUAGAGAAAAUCCUUUAAAAUAUUCAAUUUCUAAACAAAAUCAAACUCACAUCAAUAGCAGAUCUUGACAAAGAAACCCAAAAUCACAAAUGAUCCUAUCUUUUUAAAAGGGGAAAAAGAAAACUUACUAUAAGAGAGAUAACCAGCAUAGCCAGUAGUUCCAGUAACACCUGCAAUGAGUCCGUACUUGACAAAGCUCUAAAUUUUCCCUCCCGAAACCUGUGGGGCAACUUUCGGCGCCAGAGGAGGAGGUGUCGACUGAUCGGAGAGAAUGGAUUGUGAAGAACAAUCCAAACUUAAUUUACAAGCAAUGUGGAAAUUUUGGACGUUGCAGUAUUGACUACGUUUACUUGAGGGAAAACAAAGACAUGAAUGCUGGAAAUUUUAACUAGUUUGUACGGUCAAUGAAGCUACCUCGAAUGUUAAAUAUGUUACUCUGCAAUGCCAUUGUAAAUAUGACUGUUAAAUUUGUUGAUAGCGGAAUUGUUCCACUCAAGUUAUUGUGGGACAAAUCAAGAAUUUGAAGAAAAGUGACAUUGCAUGUUAAACAAGAGACCUCUCCAUUGAAACUAUUAUUUGAGAUCAGAAAGACAUUGAUUGUCGAAGCUGGAAUCGGAAGAUUUCCACGGAUCAAAUAGGAGCUUAAGUCAAGAACUACAAUAUUCUUCCAUGGAAAGUGCAAAACUUCUGUCAAAGAGUUGCUGUAAUUGGAUUAAUCUCAUCGUUGCUGCAAUCUUUUGACAAAUCGAAUCUUAAAUAUGUUACUCUGCAACGCUAUUGUAAAUGUUACUCUUAAAUAUUACUCUGUAACUAGAUUGAUGGCUCAAUCUUGUUUUUAACAUUGUUAUGGGUAUUACUACUUUCAUGCUUUGAUACGCGAUACCCUCUUUCUAGGUGACAUUUUUGCUCCUUCCGGGCCACCAUGGGCUCUCUGCAUCACUCACCAACCUCAUUAGAUUCCCCGGGUGCCAUUUGGCCAUCUCAAGUCUCAAAAUAGCAUCAAAAUGCACUCUAAUAAUUUAUUAAUAUAAAGAACUAAAACAAAAUAAAAACACAACAAAGAUAUCUAAAUUGCACGAAAAUAAGCUUUUAAGUGUGAUGGAGAGUCUAAUUUGACAUAUCAAUUAAUGUUUGACUAUCUCCAUCUCACUUUUUAUUAAUUAAGGAAUAUGAAUUAGAAUUAAUAUAAACUUACUAUUUUAACAUUUCAUAAGCAAAAGCUAAAAUAAUAUUGGUCACAUCCCAUAUCUUCAUAUAUAGCUUAUCAGACAAAAGUUAAAACAGCCUUCAGUUCAUCUACAUUCUACAUUCCACGUCGAAUCUGCAAGCAUCAAAUAUUAACCUUUGAACUCCAAAAUAACAACACCAAUUUCCAGCAAUUGCAGAAGAAUGUCCAAUAAUUCCACACAAAUUAACAACAAUUUGCCAGCAUCCACUACAUUCGUAUGAAUUCCACACAAAUUAAGACUGGAAACUCUAACUUGUUCAUACCCUCAAUGAAGCUACCUAAAAGUUAUGAAUUCCACUGCAAAUUUUGUAUUGCUUGGAAUGAAUUGACUGUAAUUUCCUAUUACUUGCCACAAAAUUUUCUUUUACUGCUAACUUGUAAAAAAAUUAUGAAAAUACAACAGAGAUCAUUGAGACAUUUUGUUCUCCUUUCUCCUUUACUGAGCAGUAGCAAAGAUUAUCGAGACUAAAUUGAAAGUCAUGAAAGAAGACAUAAACAACACCACCAUACAAAAUGUUACACUCAAACAAACCAUUACAGAUAGUACGAAAUGCAAUGAAAGACACAGGAAUUGGUACAACAAUAAAGACAGACACAUACCAAUGCAACCCUUCACCAUAGGCAAAACGGUCUACAGAAUAAGAAAUUAUGAAAAUACAACACUAAUUCUUGAACAUCAUUUCCAGUAAUUAGAUCCUUCUUCGUCUAUUGCUUCGAUUGCCUUUCUUUGACUUUCUUCUUCGCCUCAUCUCUUGUUGGUUUUCAACCAAAUUCACCAACCAUUUCGGCUUACCAAUUUGGAAAACAACAUAUCCCACGGACAUUCCGAACACCACUCUGCAUCCAUAACCUAUCAACACCACUUUCCAACCAAAAGCAAUGUUUGAUUUUGAGCCAUCUUUUUCAAGCGCAUUUGGAGGUGCUGGCUCAAUGAUGUUGCAACCUUUCGAGACCGGAAACCCACACAGUCCAUUAUUCCCUUCAUAUGAAUCAUUUCCAAAUGUGUUGAAUUGUUUUCCUUGAGGAAUCUGACCAUGGAGUUGAUUUUCAGCGACAUUGAAGGACGAAAGAAAUGGCAGAUCUGCCAAUCUAUUUGGAAUCGUCCCAGACAACCUGUUUGAAGAUAGGUCCAACCAUUCAAUACUUGUCAAAUUCCCUAUUGAUGUGGGAUACCACCAUUAAGGUUAUUAUGAGAAAGGUUGAGCCCUUUCAGUAAGUUAAGCUUCCCAAAAACCUUUGGAAUACCCCCUUCAAACUGAUUGUUUGAUAGAUCAAUGAUCAUCCACAUGGUGAAAAUUUUCACCAAUUCCAUAUAUUGUCCUUUCAUAACAGUUCCGAUGGAAUAGGUAUAGAAGCCAUUACCUCUCGGAACAUACAUCCCCAUGUACGACAUUGUACUCCCAAUCUUCUCUAGAUUUAUGAUACCCUUGAAGCUGUUGAUGUAUCUCACUGGUAGGGGUCCAGAAAAAUAAUUACUUGAGAGAAAAAAAAUUUGGAUUUUAGAGAAAAAAGGGCUAGACUUGGAGCUAUUGUCACAUAAGGAACCAUGCAUAUGAUUUGACUUCAAUACAAGAACUUGUAGCUGUGGAAGACUUCCCAACCAAUGAGGAAAUGUAUCAUUGAUCUUGUUCUUCUUCAGAUUCAAGAAUUGAAGGCUGUAGCUCAAAUUUUCAAAACAUUGCGGAAUUGUUCCGCUCAAGUUAUUGUGGGACAAAUCACGAAUUUGAAGAAAAGUGACAUUGCAUAUUAAAGAAGAGACCUCUCCAUUGAAACUAUUAUUUGAGAUCAGAAAGACAUUGAUCGUCGAAGCUGGAAUGGGAAGAUUUCCACGGAUCAAAUUGGAGCUUAAGUCAAGAACUGCAAUAUUCUUCCAUGGAAAGUGCUCAACUUCUGUCAAAGAGUUGUGAGAUACAUUUAAGUCAAAGAGCCAUUGCCCACCUCUUGCAUCCACUGUGGAAUCUUGCCUUCAAUUUUGUUGCAAGAGAGGUCCAAGCUUUCCAAACUUUUAAGCCCUUAUAAAAACUGGGGGAAUUCACUAAGAUUGAAAGAUGACAAACGUAAGUCUAUAAGAUUAGACAAUAUAUGGUUAACACAAGAAGUAGUAUUAAAUGUUAAGGAUAGGCUGUUAUAUGAAAGGUCGAGAAGUUUUAGAGUUGGAAGGUUUGAGAACAUGCGAAACUCUAUGACACCACUAAGAUUAUUUGAGGAUAAAAGGAGGUGGGUAAGAUUGAGAAGUUGGAAUAUUGAAGAUGGAAGAGGACCUUGGAGUUUAUUAUUGUUUAACCUUAUCAAUUCUAGUGUUUUGGAUUGGAAUUCUUUGAUAUGCCCACUGAAUUGUUUUUAGAGAGAUCUAUUGUUUAACCACGUUAUUUUUCAGUGACGGAUCGAGAAAUAAAACUUAGGGGGAGCAGGGGCGAAGUUAGAAAAUUAGUUUGGGGUAAUCGAAAUUAAAUUAUAUAUUUUUAUGAUAGUAAAAAUAGAAUUUCGUCAUUUUAAUAGCCUAUAUCUUUAUAAUUUUUAGAGGAUUAAAUUAAUUUUUUAUCAUUUGAGGGGGGCAAAGUGCAAUUUUACCGUUAUUAAUUUAAAAUUUUAUAAAUUAUAAAUGGCCUAAAUUUUAAAAAAAAAAUCAUUUUAGGGGGUUGAGACCCUGUCAGCCCUCUCCCUAGACCCACCCCUAGUCUUUUUGAUACAAUUUGGCAGUUUAAGUACUUAAUUAGUGCAAAAAAAAAAAAACUAGGGGCUCAAUAGCUUUUUUUUGAAAAAGUUUGAGAGCCUUUUUGAUCCAUUUUGGCAGUUCAAAUGCCCAAUUCAGUGCAAGAAAAGAAGUAGGGGCUUAAUUAUUUUUUUUUAAAAAAAGUUUGAGAGCCUUUUUACACCAUUGAACCUUUUUUAUACUAAUUGGUAGACGCGAAGUUAUAAAUAUUUAAUUGUUAAUGUAAUUUUUAGAAUUUCUAAAGAAUAAUAAUAUUUAAAAUCUUAUAAUUUUUUUUAUUUCAUGUGCAUAAAAAACUUAAAUAAAUAAGUGUUUAGAUUUAGAUUAAUCACGCUGUCCAUUUAUUCAUAUUCAUUCUAGAGGUAUAACUUUUAGUUAUUUUAUAUGUUUUUAUAAUUAAAAAUAAUGGUAUAAAAGUCGAUUAAGUUUUAGCUCAAUUGACAUAGACAUUGUUGUUGAGGAGGACCUAUUGGUAGUUCUAGGCAUUGUGUCAAAAUGAACUAUAUUUGAUAAGAACCUAUAAUGAAAUUAAUGUUAAAAAAAUAAUAGUAUAAAAAGCUAAUAUUUUUAUAAAAGUUUCAUUUUUUUUUCAGUUUUUGGAUUUUUCUCAUAUAAAAUUUUAGAAUUGUUUCUUGAAUUUUUAUAGCUUUUCUUAUUAUGAUGUUAUAUAAUUUUAGAUUUUUAUACAUCUUUAAUAUUUUUUUAGUUUUUUAUUGUUUCUCAAAUAAUGCUUGGUUGAUGUAGCUUGCCAAGUGGUAUCGUGUUAUUGGCUGUCAAUUUCAAUAAUAAAAAAAUUUGGAGUUGAUUAGUUAUGAACUAACUCGAUUAAUCAAUUCUAAAUUUAAGUACUAAUUAAGUCCAAAAAAAGUUCAAAUUUCAAUUCAUGCAAGUUGGAUGGCAAUGAAACGGGAUUGGGGUGCGAAUAUUGUCAAAUUCACUAUUGUUUCAUAGUUGAUGUGUUUUGUCCCAUCACUCACCCCCGCUCCACUAUGGAUGUUUAAUUUUGAAAACCACUCACCCCAUGGAUGUUGGAUGCAUCCAUCCCUGCUUCACGUCGUGCCAUUUCAAUUUAAUUUUUAUUAGUUUUUUUAAAAAUAUUUUCAAUUUUUUUUUAAUUUUAAAAUAUUUUCAAUCUUUUUAAAACUUAUAAAUAUUUAAACAUAAUUAUUCAAGAAAAACAUUUAAACAUAAAACAUAUGAGUUUUUUAUAACAUAUUUUUACCCUUUAAUAGUUAUAAAUAUACAAGGGUCGAAUAGUAAUUUCAAAUAGUGAAAUAGAGUGGAUUGGGACAAACAAUUACCAUAACUGCUACACUUAAUCAUCGUAAAAAAAAAAAAAAAAAAUCUAUUUCAUCCCCGCCCAUAUUCCCUUUUAAAAGGAUCUACUCUAAAUGAAACAAACCAAUUCAAAAUCCAUUUAACAUCCUAAAUUCUAAAACUAAUUUUGAUAUGAAGUCUCAAUUAAAUUCAAGUAAUAAGGUUUUUUGAUAUGGUUUACACUACUAACUUCUAUAUGAAAACAACAACCAUUUCCCAUGAUGUUUGCGGCUUACCAACAAAUCCUUGCAGAUUUUCAACGUAGAAGAAAAUCAUGAAAAUAAAAAAAAAAAAAAAAAAAAAACUCUGGUUGGGAUUUGUUUCAUAUGGAAAACAGAAAACAAAACUUAAGUUAGUCAAAAUUACCAACUCACUGCUGACAACAUUUUUGUUGUAACCAAACAUUUGGAAGAAAAUAAACACAAGAGCACGCCGUUGACCUGUAUUUCUUUUAUUCUUCAAUUCUAUUUCAUCUUUAAGCUGUAACCAAUGAUAAUCAAAUCUUGACUUGCAUAAAAACCAAAGAAAACAAAAUGAAUGCAGCAGAAUUUUCUACCACAAAUGAGUAGUAAUUUACAGAUAAUAAAAUUAUCGAAAAACUAUUGAGAGUCGAAUUUCAUAUUAAUUGUGGUAUCCAUGAACUAGAAUGUAUUAAAAAAAGAAGGAUAUUGACCUUGAGACUACUUGCAAUUUUCAAAAACACUCUCAAUUCCUCUCCCCCUCUUCGGGCACCGGCCCAAGAUCCUGCCAUUGGCUACCACGCCGGCCGCUAGUCGCCAGCGCCGGCGCCGUGCAUGGAGGAGGAGAGUCCAAAAAUAUCCUUUUUUUUUUCUCACAUGCAGAUCCUCGGCCUCCAAACACUCCGACGACGGCUACAAAGGUAAAAAGGCCUCUCAUUUUUUAUUUUUAUAAUGCUUCAAAAUAAAAAAAUAAAAAAAAGGGAAAAAAUCACCUUUAAAAAAAACUGAUUCCUGUUUUUUAUUUCUCUUUGUUUUUUUUUUUCCAAAAGAGAACUCCCUUAAUUUUUCAUCUUUUUUAGCCCUUAAACCUACGUUGUUUAUCAAUAACCUUAAACUUACAUUGUUUACCGGAUGAAAAAUUUAAUAUUUAUUAACUUUGCUAAGGUGCACAUAUGCAAUUUAUUUAAAUCUAAAAACUAUAAAAUAUCUUAAAAUUAAAACUAAAAGUUUUUAAACUACUUGAUUGCUCCUUUCUCCUUUACUGAGCAGUAGCAAAGAUAAUCGAGACUAAAUUGAAAUCCAUGAAAGAAGACAUAAAACACCUCCAUACAAAGUGUCACACUCAAACAAACCAUUACAGAUAGUACGAAAUGCAAUGAAAGACAGAGGAAUUGCUACAAUAACAAAGACAGACACAUACCAAUGCAACCCUUCACCAUAGGCAAAACAAGAAAUUAUGAAAAUACAACACUAGUUCUUGAACAUCAUUUGCAGUAAUUAGAUCCUUCUUCGUCCACUGCUGCGAUUGCCUUUCUUUGACUUUCUUCUUCGCCUCUUCUCAUGUUGGUUUUCAACCAAAUUCACCAACCAUUUCGGCUUUCCAGUUUGGAAAACAACAUAUCCCACCAGCAUUCCGAACACUACUCCGCAUCCAUAACCUAUCAACACCACUUUCCAUUCAAAAGCAAUGUUUGAUUUUGAGCCAUCUUUUUCAAGCACAUUUGGAGGUGCUGGCUCAAUGAUGUUGCAACCUUUCGAGACCGGAAAUCCACAUAGUCCCUUAUUUCCUUCAUAUGAAUCAUUUCCAAAUGUGUUGAAUUGUUUUCCUUGAGGAAUCUGACCAUGGAGUUGAUUUUCAGAAACAUUUAAGGACGAAAGAAAUGACAGAUCUGCCAAUCUAUUUGGAAUCGUCCCAGACAACCUGUUUGAAGAUAGGUCCAACCAUUCAAGACUUGUCAAACUCCCUAUUGAGGAGGGGAUAUCACCAUUAAGGUUAUUAUGAGAAAGGUUGAGCCCUUUCAGUAAGUUAAGCUUCCCAAUAACCUUUGGAAUACCCCCUUCAGACUGAUUGUUUGAUAGAUCAAUGAUCAUCCACAUGGUGAAAAUUUUCACCAAUUCCCUAUCUUGUCCUUUCAUGACAAUUCCAAUGGAAUAGGUAUAGAAGCCACUACCUCGAGAAUCAUUCACCCCCAUGUACGACACCGUACUACCAAUCUUUUCUAGAUUUAUGAUAGCCUUGAAGCUGUUGAUGUAUCUCACUGGUAGGGGUCCAGAAAAAUAAUUACUUGAGAGGUCAAAAAUUUGGAUUUUAGAGAAAAAAGGGCUAGACUUGGAGCUAUUGACACGCAAGGAACCAUGCAUAUGAUUUGACUUCAAAACAAGAACUUGCAAAAAUGGAAGACUUCCCAACCAAUGAGGAAAUGUAUCAUUGAUCUUGUUGUUACCAAGAUCUAGCACUUCCAGACCAUUACAAUUAAGGAUGGAUGGUGUCAAAGGCCCUUCUAACAGAUUUCCAUUUAAGUUGAAAUUAGUCAGUUGGCAUCCCUUUGCAAAUGUUAGAGGAAUCGUCCCAUAGAACUCGUUCUUCUUCAGAUUGAAGACUUGAAGGAUGUUGCUCAGAUUUCCAAAACAUUGCGGAAUUGUUCCACUCAAGUAAUUGUGGGACAAAUCAAGAAUUUGAAGAUAAGUGGCAUUGCAUAUUAAAGAAGAGACCUCUCCAUUGAAACUGUUAUUUGAGAUCAAAAAGACAUUGAUGGUCGAAGCUGGAAUCGGAAGAUUUCCACGGAUCAAAUUGGAGCUUAAGUCAAGAAAUUCAAUAUUCUUCCAUGGAAAGUGCUCAACUUCUGUCAAAGAGUUGUGAGAUACGUUUAAGUAAGUCAAAGAGUCAUUCCCCACCUCUUGCAUCCACUGUGGAAUCUUGCCUUCAAUUUUGUUGCAAGAGAGGUCUAACCUUUCCAAACUUUUAAGCCCUUUUAAAAACUGGGGGAAUUCACUAAGAUUGCAAGAUGACAAAAAUAAGCUUCUAAGAUUAACAGUAGAUGUAGUAUUAGAUGUUAAGUAUAGGCUGUUAAAUGAAAGGUCGAGAUAUUUUAGAUUUGGAAGGUUUGAGAACAUACGUAACUCUAUGACACCACUUAGAUUAUUUGAGGAUAAAACGAGCAAGGUAAGAUUGAGAAGUUGGAAUAUUGAAGAUGGAAAAGGACCUUGGAGUUUAUUAUUGUUUAGAUAUAAAUGUUCUAGUGAUUUGGAUUGGAAUUCUUGGAUAUGCCCACUGAAUUGAUUUUGAGAGAGAAUUAUAACCUUUAAGGAGGGAGCAGUAUACAACCAUGACGGAAGUGUUCCAUUGAGUAAAUUGUCAGAUAAGCCUAAAUAUAUUAGAUUAGGAAAAGUGGUUACCUCAUCUGGAAUGGAUCCUUCUAAAGAAUUUUCAGAUAUUCCCAAGUAUUCCAGCUGGGUUAGGUUUAGAAUUGACAAUGGAAUUUGUCCACUCAAUUGGUUCUGCGACAAGUCUAAAUGAGUGAGUUGCAAGAGGUUCCCCAAUGAUAUUGGAAUUUGUCCACUCAAUUGGUUCUGCCACAAGUUUAAAUCAGUGAGUUGCAAGAGGUUCCCCAAUGAUCUUGGAAUUUGUCCACUCAAUUGGUUCUGCCACAAGUCUAAAUCAGUGAGUUGCAAGAGGUUGCCCAAUGAUCUUGGAAUUUGUCCACUCAAUUGGUUCUGCCACAAGCCUAAAUUAGUGAGUUGCAAGAGGUUCCCCAAUGAUCUUGGAAUUUUUUCACUCAAUUGGUUCUGCCACAAGCCUAAAUGAGUGACUUGCAAGAGGUUCCCCAAUGAUCUUGGAAUUUUUCCACUCAAUUGGUUCUGCCACAAACCUAAAUCAGUGAGUUGCAAGAGAUUCCCCAAUGAUCUUGGAAUAUUUCCACUCAAUUGGUUCUGCCACAAGCCUAAAUGAGUGAGUUGCAAGAGGUUCCCCAAUGAUCUGCCACAAGCCUAAAUGAGUGAGUUGCAAGAGUUUCCCCAAUGAUCUUGGAAUUUGUCCACUCAAUUGGUUCUCACACAAGUCUAAAUAAGUGAGUUGCAAGAGGUUCUCCAAUGAUCUUGGAAUUUGUCCACUCAAUAGGUUCUGUGACAAGUCUAAAUAAGCGAGUUGCAAGAGGUUCCCCAGUGAUCUUGGACCCGGUCCUGAUAAGUUGGAAUGGGAGAGAUCUAAAACCUUCAAGGACACAAGAUUCCCCAUCCAGUCAGGCAAUCCUCCAAAAAAAUUUGCGCCUCCAAGAAUCAACUACUCCAAAGAUGAUAAAUUUGUGAAUGAGACAGACAAUCCUUGAAAGAAGGAAUUUCCUGAGAGAUCUAAGUACUUUAAGGCCUGUAGAUUAUCAACUGAAUCAAUGAAUUCUGUAGAGAAGGACACGAACGACAGAUCCAAAUGUUCAAGAUUGCUGCUCCGAUUGAACUUCAAAGGAUCAAGAUUGAGGUUUUGGUUGCCUCCCAAGUUGAGGAGAUUGAGGUUUGGCAAAUCAAAAAUGUUUUUUGGGAAUUUUCCUUGCAAAUCACAAAAAGCAAGACUGAGAGACCUUAGAGAAGAGGAUAGAUUCAUGAAGACAUGAGCAUUAACAGAAGACAUGUCCAUUCCAUCCAAAAACAGAUGUCUGACCUCGGUUAGGUUGUGAACAAGUCCCUCCAGAGCAUGUUUGUCAAUUGUUUGUGCAUCACCCCAACAGGAGAGAUCAAGUGAAACCAAUUUUGACAGGUGGGAGACUUGGGAUGGGACUUCUCCUGCAAACCCUGUAUUGGAAAGGUUGAGGUAGAAUAGGCUUGUAAACCGACCUAAGUCGGAUGGAAUUUUGGAAAGAUUAAAAUCAUUGAAGGCAAGGUUGAGUUUUUGAAGGUGAGGAAGAAGGAAGAGAGUGGUAUUGGAAGGGAAGUUGCCAGAUAGCCAACUGCAGCUCAAGUCAAGGGCAAUAACAUGAGCAUUUAGGUGGUCACAAGUGACCCCAUCCCAUGAGCAGCAAUCUGUACCCUCCUUCCAUGAAUUUGUCUUGGGAUAAGAUUUAGGGCCGCAAGACGAAUAAGCAGCCUCUGUUAUGGAAAAAGAGUUCUUGAACUGGAUUAGUAAAGAGCAGGAGUGAGAUCCUGAAGAAGAAAAAGAAGCAUAAAGAUGGGGAAAGAAGAGGAAUAG